rfam:Dokdonia sp. 4H-3-7-5 chromosome, complete genome.
UAUCUUUGCACGCUGAUAGAGACGCUAUCAAUACAUGAAUUUCAUUUAAAAUAAUACUGGAAUG